rnacentral:rRNA from 1 species
CAGUCGCCGCGGGAAUACGAAGGGUGCAAGCGUUAAUCGGAAUUACUGGGCGUAAAGCGUGCGCAGGCGGUUUGUUAAGUCUGUUGUGAAAUCCCCGGGCUCAACCUGGGAAUGGCAAUGGAUACUGGCAAGCUAGAGUGUGUCAGAGGAUGGUGGAAUUCCCGGUGUAGCGGUGAAAUGCGUAGAGAUCGGGAGGAACAUCAGUGGCGAAGGCGGCCAUCUGGGACAACACUGACGCUGAGGCACGAAAGCGUGGGGAGCAAACCGGAUUAGAUACCCCCGUAGUCCCUGUCUCUUAUAC